UGGGGAAUAUUGGACAAUGGGCGAAAGCCUGAUCCAGCCAUGCCGCGUGUGUGAAGAAGGUCUUCGGAUUGUAAAGCACUUUAAGUUGGGAGGAAGGGCAGUAAGUUAAUACCUUGCUGUUUUGACGUUACCGACAGAAUAAGCACCGGCUAACUCUGUGCCAGCAGCCGCGGUAAUACAGAGGGUGCAAGCGUUAAUCGGAAUUACUGGGCGUAAAGCGCGCGUAGGUGGUCUGUUAAGUUGGAUGUGAAAGCCCCGGGCUCAACCUGGGAACUGCAUCCAAAACUGGCAGGCUAGAGUACGGUAGAGGGUGGUGGAAUUUCCUGUGUAGCGGUGAAAUGCGUAGAUAUAGGAAGGAACACCAGUGGCGAAGGCGACCACCUGGACUGAUACUGACACUGAGGUGCGAAAGCGUGGGGAGCAAACA
rnacentral:rRNA from 1 species